UACAUGGGGUGCAAACGUUGCUCGGAAUUAUUGGGCGUAAAGCGCACGUAGGCGGUCCGUUAUGUCGGAUGUGAAAGCCCUCGGCUCAACUGAGGAAGUGCAUCCGAAACUGGCGGGCUUGAGUAUGGAAGAGGGUCGCGGAAUUCCCGGUGUAGAGGUGAAAUUCGUAGAUAUCGGGAGGAACACCGGUGGCGAAGGCGGCGACCUGGGCCAAUACUGACGCUGAGGUGCGAAAGCGUGGGGAGCAAACAGG
rnacentral:rRNA from 1 species